rnacentral:rRNA from 1 species
GACGAACGCUGGCGGCGUGCCUAAUACAUGCAAGUAGAACGCUGAAGCUUGGUGCUUGCACCGAGCGGAUGAGUUGCGCACGGGUGAGUAACGCGUAGGUAACCUGCCUGGUAGCGGGGGAUAACUAUUGGAAACGAUAGCUAAUACCGCAUAAGAGUAGAUGUUGCAUGACAUUUGCUUAAAAGGUGCAAUUGCAUCACUACCAGAUGGACCUGCGUUGUAUUAGCUAGUUGGUGAGGUAACGGCUCACCAAGGCAACGAUACAUAGCCGACCUGAGAGGGUGAUCGGCCACACUGGGACUGAGACACGGCCCAGACGCCUACGGGAGGCAGCAGUAGGGAAUCGUCGGCAAUGGACGGAAGUCUGACCGAGCAACGCCGCGUGAGGGAAGAAGGUUGUCGGAUCGUAAAGCUCGGUUGUAAGAGAAGAACGAGUGUGAGAGUGGAAAGUUCACACUGUGACGGUAUCUGACCAGAAAGGGACGGCUAACUACGUG